rnacentral:rRNA from 1 species
UAAACGACUCUCGGCAACGGAUAUCUCGGCUCAUGCAUCGAUGAAGAACGUAGCAAAAUGCGAUACUUGGUGUGAAUUGCAGAAUCCCGUGAACCAUCGAGUUUUUGAACGCAAGUUGCGCCCGAAGCCUUCUGGUUGAGGGCACGUCUGCCUGGGCGUCAUGC